UGGCUCCUACGGGACGCAGCAGUAGGGAAUCUUCCACAAUGGACGAAAGCCUGAUGCAGCAACGCCGCGUGAGUGAAGAAGUAUUUCGGUAUGUAAAGCUCUAUCAGCAGGGAAGAAGAUGACGGUACCUGAUUAAGAAGCCCCGGCUAACUACGUGCCAGCAGCCGCGGUAAUACGUAGGGGGCAAGCGUUAUCCGGAUUUACUGGGUGUAAAGGGAGCGCAGACGGCAGUGCAAGUCUGGAGUGAAAGCCCGGGGCCCAACCCCGGAACUGCUCUGGAAACUGUGCGGCUAGAGUACUGGAGG
rnacentral:rRNA from 1 species